UCGCUCAUUCCACGCGCGGCGCGCUUGACCCGGCAACGGCGCGCGCGCCUUGUACUUGUAUCGAUGCAUGUAUAGGGGAGGAAUAGUAAUCCCAUGUACUCUCGUUUUGGAACUGCGCUAGCCCUGCGUACGUACGCUAGUGAUGUAUAUUUUGUACAACCCAGUAUUUUGCCCUGUACCCGCUCAGCGGUGUCUAUCUUGGCCGUCGGAUCGACUGGGCAGCGGGAACGUUGUCAGAGCUGUCAGCGAGCCCCCCUCCGAAAUAUCUUUCCAUAUAAUAUCCAUAUACACCCCAAUACAUGGUACACUGUAGCAUACUUGGUAUGGUAUUCAACAUAAAAAUAAGCUCCACCGCUCCCAGCUCGGGAGGCUUGUCACGAGCGCCGCCGCACCACUCCACGCCCUCGCGUCCUAACACCUCCCCUGGAGUCGCCGUCGUUGAACACGACGGCGGCGGCUGCCUAGCCUUGCCUGCUUCAGAUCUACAACCUCGCGCUGGUAUCUUGUUGGUGGUCUCCUUCGCUGCAGACGACGGCGGCGGCUACCUUGCAUUUCCUCCUCCAAAUCUCCAGCGAGCGGUGCGCCAUCUACCUUGCGUCAGAUCUAGCUUUGAGCUUUCAACGCCGGCUACAGCAUGCUAGCACAAAUCUAGCAGAGGGGAUGCCGUCGCGUUUGGUGGGUGACGGACCCACUGCUGAUUCGCCAUGCCUGGAGUUUCCGAGGUCAAUUGAACCGCCCUGCAGCUUAGUCGAGAACAGGAAGACGCGAGGCUGCAGUCCGUGCACGGAUCGAUCGACGUUACUCCUACAAGCAGAUUCUCCAGGUAAAAAAUCUGCUUUUUUACUCAUUUCGGGCUUGGGAUGUCGAGGACCAACACAACUAAGAAUCAGUAAUUUCGCUUUCAUUUGCAUUUCGGGGGAGUCACUGGCUGACUGGCUCCCUGCACCGAGGAGCAGUGGCGCACCGUUACCGGAAGUAAAAUAUGCAAGUGCAGGGACCAGCAACAAUUUCAAUCUUCGCUUGAAUCAAUUUUGGGAGGUUGUGGUUCAUUCCAGGAAUUACUUCAAGCUCACUAUGUAAAAACACCUUAUUAGAGACUCUUCUUAAACCUCAUCACAGACACAAAAAAUCUCGCAUCA